rnacentral:rRNA from 1 species
GACGAACGCUGGCGGCGUGCUUAACACAUGCAAGUCGAACGCAGUGGCGAACGGGUGAGUAACGCGUAAUCAACCUUCCCUUCCGAGGGGGACAACAGUUGGAAACGACUGCUAAUACCGCAUACUGAAGGAGGGGAUUGCGUCUGAUUAGCUAGUUGGGGGGGUAACGGCCCCCCAAGGCGAUGAUCAGUAGCCGGUCUGAGAGGAUGAACGGCCACAUGGGGACUGAGACACGGCCCAGACUCCUACGGGGGGCAGCAGGGGGGAAACUUCCGCAAUGGACGGAAGUCUGACGGAGGAACACCGGGUGAGUGAUGACGGCCUGCGGGUUGUAAAGCUCUGUUAAUCGGGACGCGGUACCGGAAGAGAAAGCCACGGCUAACUACGCGCCAGCAGCCGCGGUAAUUC